GUCACGAAGUGGUGAUGACGCAACGAAAGAACCCACUUCAACACAUGGUAUGUGACGUCACAGAGGAUCAAGCGGACCAUGGAAUGAAAGAAGAAUGAAGAAAAGUCAGCGAAUAAAGCUGCCGAGGAAAAGCCCAAGACAAAGAACAAAGACGAAGACGCCGAUAAAGGAUACACGGUUUGAG